AGCAGCCGCGGUAAUUCCAGCUCCAAUAGCGUAUAUUAAAGUUGUUGCAGUUAAAAAGCUCGUAGUUGAAUUUCGGGAUUUGUCAGUUGGUCGGGCUUCACUGUCCGUAUUGACUUGAUGGAUUCUUACCUUCUGAAUAACCAGCAUGCUAUUAAGUUAGUGCGUUGGGGAAGCAGAUCUAUUUACCUUGAAAAAAUUUAGAGUGCUUAAAGCGAGCUAGUGCUUGAAUAGAUUAGCAUGGAAUAAUAAAAUAGGACGGCAUGGUUCUAUUUUGUUGGUUUCUAGGAUCACCGUAAUGAUUAAUAGGGAUAGUUGGGGGCAUUAGUAUUCAAUUGUCAGAGGUGAAAUUCUUGGAUUUAUUGAAGACUAACUUCUGCGAAAGCAUUUGCCAAGGAUGUUUUCAUUAAUCAAGAACGAAAGUUAGGGGAUCGAAGACGAUCAGAUACCGUCGUAGUCUUAACCAUAAACUAUGCCGACUAGGAAUCGGACGAUG
rnacentral:rRNA from 1 species